rnacentral:lncRNA from 1 species
GAAAGAUCUCAGAUGAACAAUAUAAAAAGAAAAAGAAGUAAAUUCAACUCAAAAACAGAAGGAAGGAAAAAUAAAGAGCAGAAAUCAAUUUUAAAAAACGGGAAAACUAUAGAGAAAAAUCAAUGAAAGCAAAAGCUGGUUCUUUGAAGAGAUCAGUAAAAUUGAUCAACCUCUAACCAAAAUGACCAAUGAUACUUACACAGGAUUAUAACGCCUGUAGGCUGCAAAGAGUCAGGACAAGUUCAUUCACCCUUAAUGGCCACUCUUUCACUUCUCAGCCUGUUCCGUUGGAAGCCAAAUUUUGAACUGAGACCAAAUAAAGUACAGGGGAUGGUCCAUGUGAUUUCUUUGAACCACCAACUCUAAAGUCAUUGAUCCUCGCCUUUAUCCAAAACAAAAAUUUUAUUAGUAAAUAUUUCACCUAUAAUUAACAUGGAAGAUUACACAUAAACAGUGUUUAGUAUACAAAUUAUACAUUAUAGUCUUAAUUCUAGCACUUUGUAGCUUGUCUCUUUCAUCUGGUUUAAAAGGAAGAGAAGGAAAGAAGUGUGGAACGCAAUCUAAAUUGUUCAAAUUUAUGGCUGUUACAAUAUAUCAUUCCUCAAAUUAGUGGAUUCCUAAUGGAGAAAGUUUUGACUAGACUUUCACCUGGUUAACUAUUUUAAUCAGGGCCCCACAUUAUCAGCUUUCACCCGGUUAGCCUAUUUCCAUCAGGGCAGUGCAAAGUGGUUUGGUUUGGAUGGAGAGCCAAUAUAGUGGAGUAGAAAGAAUACUGACUAAGGAGUCAGAAGACCCAGGCUCUAAUUUCAACGUUGGCAUGACACUGCAUCAGUGUAUAGCUCAAUUCCUUGGAUAUUCCCCCACCUUGGGGGAAAAAAAUGGAGUCACAUUUAUAUAAAAAUGGAAAGAACAGCAAGGGAAAAUGAAUUUAGCUUAGUUACUUAAAAUACACAACUGGUGGCCAGCUCCGUGGCCAAGUGGUUAAGUUCGCGCACUAUGCUGCAGCGGCCCAGGGUUUGGAUCCUGGGCUCGGACAUGGCACUGCUCUUCAGGCCACAUUGAGGCGGCGUCCCACAUCCCACAACUAGAAGGACCUGCAACUAAGAUAUACAACUGGGUAUGGG